GAGGAAUAUUGCGCAAUGGAGGCAACUCUGACGCAGCCAUGCCGCGUGCAGGAAGAAGGCGCUACGCGUUGUAAACUGCUUUUAACCGGGAAGAAACCCCAGGACGUGUCCUGGGUUGACGGUACCGGAGGAAUAAGCACCGGCUAACUUCGUGCCAACAGCCGCGGUAAUACGAAGGGUGCAAGCGUUAUCCGGAUUCAUUGGGUUUAAAGGGUGCGUAGGUGGGGCGGUAAGUCAGUGGUGAAAUCCUGCAGCUCAACUGUAGAAUUGCCAUUGAUACUGCCGCUCUUGAGUACGCUUGACGUGGGCGGAAUGUGCCGUGUAGCGGUGAAAUGCUUAGAUAUGGCACAGAACACCGAUAGUGAAGACAGCUCACGAAGGCGAAACUGACACUGAGGCACGAAAGCGUGGGGAUCGAAC
rnacentral:rRNA from 1 species